GUUCAAGCGGUGCUUGAUGCUAUCCGCUCAGCGGGCUUAACUGCCAAUCCUUCCAAGUGUACAAUUGGUUUCGAGGAAGCAAAAUACUUAGGUUAUUCUAUUGGGAGGGGUUUGGUUAAACCACAGGAAGCCAAAGUGGAAGCCAUACAAAAAUGGCCACAGCCCCUUACAAAGAAACAAGUAAUGUAGCCCCAUGUAGCCAAAGCACAGCUAAGCGAAAAAGGGC